UACGUAGGGUGCGAGCGUUGUCCGGAAUUACUGGGCGUAAAAGGCUCGUGGGUGGUUUGUCGCGUUGUCCGUGAAAACUCACAACUCAAUUGUGGGCGUGCGGGCGAUACGGGCAGACUGGAGUACUGCAGGGGAGACUGGAAUUCCUGGUGUAGCGGUGGAAUGCGCAGAUAUCAGGAGGAACACCGGUGGCGAAGGCGGGUCUCUGGGCAGUAACUGACGCUGAGGAGCGAAAGCGUGGGGAGCGAACAGG
rnacentral:rRNA from 1 species